GAUGAAGAACGUAGCGAAAUGCGAUAAGUAAUGUGACUUGCAGAAUUCAGUGAAUCAUCGAAUCUUUGAACGCACAUUGCGCCCCCUGGUAUUCCGGGGGGCAUGCCUGUCCGAGCGUCAUUACAACCCUCAAGCUCAGCUUGGUGUUGGGCCCCGCCGCCCCGGCGGGCCCUAAAGUCAGUGGCGGUGCCGUCCGGCUCCGAGCGUAGUAAUUCUUCUCGCUCUGGAGGUCCGGUCGUGUGCUCGCCAGCAACCCCCAAUUUUUUUCAGGUUGACCUCGGAUCAGGUAGGGAUACCCGCUGAACUUAAGCAUAUCAAUAAGCGGAGGA
rnacentral:misc_RNA from 1 species